rnacentral:rRNA from 1 species
UACGUAGGGCGCAAGCGUUGUCCGGAAUUAUUGGGCGUAAAGAGCUCGUAGGCGGUUUGUCGCGUCUGCUGUGAAAACCUAAGGCUCAACCUUGGGCUUGCAGUGGGUACGGGCAGACUAGAGUGCGGUAGGGGUGACUGGAAUUCCUGGUGUAGCGGUGGAAUGCGUAGAUAUCGAGAGGAACACCUGCGGCGAAGGCGGGUUGCUGGGCUGACACUGACGCUGAUGCGCGAAAGCCAGGGGAGCGAACGGG